GUUCAGGGAUGGGAAUCGAACCCACAGUGUUCCGCUUACCGGGCAGAUGCCAUGUCCACUAAGCUACCCUGGA